rnacentral:lncRNA from 1 species
UAGCUGAGACAUUUUUUUCCUACACGUACUCUCUCGUUGUUGCUUAGUUUCCUCUUGUGGGUACAUAAUCUUCAGGAAUUUAACGUAUCUAGGUAUUUGUUUAAUGGCAUCAAGAAGAGGGAGAUUAAAUUUGACUUUUGCAUAAUGUUUGCAGGAUUUCGUUAUCCUCUUUUUCUUUCUUUGUUUUGGUGAAUCUCUAUGGGAAACGUGGUUUGAUU